rnacentral:lncRNA from 1 species
GUUAUAAAAGAUAAAACUGAAACUAUUACCUAUUACCAAUUACUCAAAUGAUUGACUUGUGAAAAAUCAAUGAAUCACUUUUUCUCAUGUAUCAUAUAUUUAUAUUACCAUCUUGUGGAAACCAAUACAAAUUUAAAAACUUUACCCACUGCUGUUAGAAAAAGGCAGGAAUUCUUUCCAAGCCUUGUUACCAUAUGCAGUAUCUGCUCCGCCUUAGGGCUCUUCAAAAAGAUGGAUGUCUCUGCUAAAUUACAGUGAGUGUAUCAACACCCGCUGCUGUGUACCACAACCAGGAUAUGGUGCAGACACUGUGGAUUAACAACCAAAUAAGGCCAGGCGCGGUGGCUCACACUUGUAAUCCCGGCACUUUGGGAGGCUGAGGCAGGUGGAUCAUGAGGUCAGGAGAUCGAGACCAUCCUGGCUAACACGGUGAAACCCCGUCUCUACUAAAAAUACAAAAACAAAAUUAGCCAGGUUUGGUGGCAGGCACCUGUAGUCCCAGCUACUCAGGAGCCUGAGGCGGGAGAAUGGUGUGAACCCAGGAGACGGAGCUGGCAGUGAGCCGAGAUUGCACCACUGCACUCCAGCCUGGGCAGCAGAGCGAGACUCCGUAUAAAAAAAAAAAAGCCAAUGUGCAAUAUGAUCUUAAUUUUAAAAACGUCUCCAUUUCUGUCUCUGUGUCCACAAAACAGACCUCUGAGCCGUAAAAUGAAGUGAUUUAAAAUUUAUUCUUUACAUUUAUUGAUUUGCAUAUAUUGAACUAGCCUUGCAUCCCAGGGAUGAAGCCCACUUGAUCAUGGUGGAUAAGCUUUUUGAUGUGCUGCUGGAUUCGGUUUGCCAGUAUUUUAUUGAGGAUUUUUGCAUCAAUGUUCAUCAAGGAUAUUGGUCUAAAAUUCUCUUUUUUGGUUGUGCCUCUGCCCGGCUCUGGUAUCAGGAUGAUGCUGGCCUCAUAAAAUGAGUUGGGAGGAUUCCCUCUUUUUCUAUUGAUUGGAAUAGUUUCAGAAGGAAUGGUACCAGUUCUUCCUUGUACCUCUGGUAGAAUUCGGCUGUGAAUCCAUCUGGUCCUGGACUCUUUUUGGUUGGUAAGCUAUUGAUUAUUGCCACAAUUUCAGAGCCUGUUAUAGGUCUAUUCAGAGAUUCAACUUCUUCCUAGUUUAGUCUUGGGAGGGUGUAUGUGUCGAGGAAUUUAUCCAUUUCUUCUAGAUUUUCUAGUUUAUUUGCAUAGAG